AAAGGUUACACUUUUUGCACCCUAAUUUUCUAAUUCUUUCUGGAGAAAACUAACUUGAUUAUUUAGCAGACAUCACUUGCUUAUUUAUAUUCAUGAAGAUGAUAAGUGAUCAGCAAAGGCAAUCUAAUCUGCUGGCAUCACGGCACGACAUCAACAUCACUCAAAUUACAAUCAGAAGACAGUUGAAGAAACUUGUGUGGAUUAAUGAAAGGCUCGGUAAGAAAUGUUUUAUAUUUUAUAUAUUAUUUUUAAAACAUUAUCAGAACAUUAACCAUUUGUGUUAGCUUGUUUUGUACUGUUCUGUAGUUUCGACCCAAUGAUUCAUCUGACAAACAAAGAACUUGCGUCCUGCAGGCCCAGUCAUGGAUCAAAGCUGGCGAGACAUUCAAUAAUGUCAUCUUCACAGACGAAUCAACCGUGGACCUUGAGAAAUUUGCUCAAAAUUGCUACAGAAAAAAAGGAAGAAGAUCAAGCAAGCCGAGUCCCAAGCACCCGCUCAAACUCCAUGUGUGGGGGCAAUUUCUCGGCAGGGACCAGGCCCAUAUUUGAUUUUUGAUGGUAUCAUGGCUUGAGAGUUCUUUGAGGAAGAAAUCAUCAAGAGAUAUGCUGGAUCCUAUGUCAGAGAGGUGUUUCUGGGACCAAAUCGUUUCUUUCAAGACAAUGACCAAAAACACUGCCGCCCGGGUUUGCAUUGCAAAUGAGGGCAUAAACUGGGUCAAGACGCCAGCAGAGUCUCCUGAUUUAAACCAGAUCGAACUUGUUUGGCAUCAACUGAAAACAUUCAUCCGUAACUCUGCCAAGCCGACAGGCAAAGAUGAACUGGUCAAGUCCGUCAAGAUGUUUUGGCUAGAGAAAUUGACGAUACAACAAUGCAACAAAUACCUUGAUCAUCUCGGCAUGGUUUUACCUGUGGUCGUGGAAGUGCGACUAAAAUGUAGUUAAUAUAAACAUCCGCGCUUGAAUGUCUUUUUUCUCAUUAUAUUAUUUUAUUAACGAAAGCAUAAAGAUGUUGAUGAAGAAAUACUGUACUGCUGUUUUGAGUUAGAAAUGUAAGACUUUAGAGUACUUAAGCAUCAAAUACAUUGCAAGUUGAGGGAUUUUCACAACAGUAGCGGGGUUAUAAAAUGUCUAUUGUCCUGCUAAUAGGAAACAUUUGCAAGAUGGGCUACAUUAUUAUUGUAACCACAAUGUCAACGCAUAAUUUGGAUCUACCUUUUCAAUUACUUUUAGAGUUUGGGAUUUACAAAUGUGCGCUUUUAAUUAUUAGUAACAUUGUUUUAGUUCGAACGUGCAGACUUUUUUUCUUUAAAUGAUUGUUUUAUGUAGGAUGCUAUUCUGACCAGUUGCAAUUGUAAAUAGGCCUAAUAAAAAAAAUACUUCUAUUAGGCUGUUAACUUUGCAUAUUCUUUUGUCAUAAUUGUUUGUCUCUACAUUAACAUAUUCCUCUCAGUUGUAAUUUUUUUGCUUGACUCAUUAUGACGUUAUAAAUACUUACAUUUGUUUCCCCCGUAAUGUUUUGUCAGCCAUCUUUACUGAAGAAAGUCACCAGGGACAGGUGGCUCGCGUCAAAUUCGUCAUUGGAACCACUCAAUAUGAUUGGUCCCGCGGUGUAAACUCACAACUUUUAAAGGAGGAACCACUAAGUUAGGGGCAGGUAUGAUGGCCUCAAUUUCUGUCUGCAAGUCAUCUGGUGACUAAGGUGUUGGGUUGCCUAAUGGGUAGGUCACAAUUGCAACUGUUCUCUUUAAAGUCUGUCUUCUAUUCCUUUGGUUACAUUUUGCCAUUUCUUGCUUCUUUCUCACUUUGUAAGCUCAGAGAUGGAUUUCACUUCUCCCUUCUCUUUUUUCUUCCAGUAUCUCUCCGUCUUUUUGCAGAUGUUCCUGCUAUUGUAUAGGAUCGUUUUUUAUUUUAUUUCUAUGUCUGUGACCUCUGUGCUGUUUUAUGUGGCAUCUUCUAAAAACAAAAAAAACACACUACUUAAGUUUUCCAAUUGUGCACACCUUGGAGCAUUUUCUAGAAUAAAGGAAUUUAAAACAUGAUUAAAUAAGCCUAAAGUAAAAAAUAUAAACAAAAAGGAAAAAGUAAUAACAUAAUGGAUUUUUUUUCAUUUCCACCAUGUUCUGUCAUUUCUAACCGUUAUGUUUGUGAUGGAAAUGACGCUUCUACUGUUUUUGGAGAAAAAUGACAGACUGCUUAGCAUGCUUUGGCUAGUAUUACAGCUAGCAUAUAGUUUACACUAAAUACAUAUAUUUAAAAAAUCUAAAUUCUACAUAAAAUUAAAGAAAUUAUAGCCAGUUUGGAAAUCUCGUGUGGCUCAGUUGGUAGAGCAUGGUGUUUGCAACGCCAGGGUUGUGGGUUCAAUUCCCACGGGGGACCAGUACGGAGAAAAAAUGUAUGAAAAUGUAUGAAAUGUAUGCAUUCACUACUGCAAGUCGCUCUGGAUAAGAGUGUCUGCUAAAUGACUAAAAUGUAAAAAUGAAAUGACUGACAAUAAAAAU